GCGCAGCUGCGCGUGCUUAAACAUGCAAGUCGAACGAGGACCCGGUGCUUGACCGGGGAUUAGUGGCGAACGGGUGAGUAACACGUGAGUAACCUGCCCUUGACUCUGGGAUAAGCCUGGGAAACCGGGUCUAAUACCGGAUACGACCUUUCACCGCAUGGUGGUUGGUGGAAAGAUUUUUUGGUUUUGGAUGGACUCGCGGCCUAUCAGCUUGUUGGUGAGGUAAUGGCUCACCAAGGCGACGACGGGUAUCCGGCCUGAGGGGAUGACCAGUUACACGGGGCCUAAAAAUUGGCCCUA
rnacentral:rRNA from 1 species